GACUCAGUAGCUCAGUUGGCAGAGCAAGAGAUUCAUAUCCUCUGGGUCACAGGUUCAAAUCCCGUCUGAGUCA
rnacentral:tRNA from 1 species